CCUCUGAGUGGCUGCCGCGGCCUCCCCUCCCCCCUGCGCCGUCGCGGGCCGCGCGCCUGGGCGCGCACCCGGGCUCGCCGCGACUCGCUCUCUCCCGGGACUGCUCCCCUCUCUGCAAGCCGGGACUUGCCGCCGGUGCCCCUGAGGGCUCGCAGCUGGAACUCGAACGCGCUGGAACCGACUGCUGCGAGCCGGCUCCCUGCCUGAGACAUUGCUCUUUGCCCGGGCCGGGGUCUCCUGCAGCCGGGACGCCCGCGGGCCAGGUGACCACCCCUGCAUGCGGGGCAGGGGAGCUCGCGCAUGCCUUGAUCCAACCAGGUCGCUCGCCCAGGGUUUUAUUCCAUGUCAUUUGGUCUGCCCCGGCCUCCAGGGGAGUUCUGUGCAUAAAUCCCAUAAAAUUCUAUAAUGUGGAGCUGACACUGAGCCUCCCCAGAACGAAAUCUGCUAAUGAUCACUGCUUGCCAGGAGCCUGCGGACAAGGAUCAGACGUGUCGCAACCCCCAUGCCUGCCUCCCGCCUAAGCCCUUUCUAAUAAGGACUCUUUUCAUGAGUUUAUAAAAACACUUUGUUCAGA